AUUGAACGCUGGCGGCAUGCCUUACACAUGCAAGUCGAACGGUAACGCGGGGCAACCUGGCGACGAGUGGCGAACGGGUGAGUAAUGUAUCGGAACGUGCCCAGUAGUGGGGGAUAGCCCGGCGAAAGCCGGAUUAAUACCGCAUACGACCUGAGGGAGAAAGCGGGGGAUCGCGAGACCUCGCGCUAUUGGAGCGGCCGAUAUCAGAUUAGCUAGUUGGUGGGGUAAAGGCCUACCAAGGCGACGAUCUGUAGCUGGUCUGAGAGGACGACCAGCCACACUGGGACGGAGACACGGCCCAGACUCCUACGGGAGGCAGCAGUGGGGAAUUUUGGACAAUGGGCGAAAGCCUGAUCCAGCCAUGCCGCGUGCGGGAAGAAGGCCUUCGGGUUGUAAACCGCUUUUGUCAGGGAAGAAAAGGCUCGAACUAAUACUUUGGGCUCAUGACGGUACCUGAAGAAUAAGCACCGGCUAACUACGUGCCAGCAGCCGCCGUAAAAC
rnacentral:rRNA from 1 species